CAGAAACAAACGCAAACAAAUUUUUUUAAUUCAGCACAUCAUUUAUAAGGGCAUUGUAUAGUCAACCUCUGAGGAGUUGAGCUCUGUGGCAGAGGGUCCGUUGUCGGGGGUAGGGGGUUUGAGAGUCGUUGGGGGUGGGAUGUGUUCGUUGUUGGUCAUUAUCACGUGACAAUGAUAACAUCAAUGUGCCCAAACAUUCCUUUAAAGGAAUGUUCUUUGUUUAGAUGCUUUUAUUCUAUUGAAGAGACUACACGUAUUUUAAGUUCAUCAGUUUAGAGAAAUUGUUAAUAAAAAAAUAAUAAGAAUGCAACGUGGCAAGGCUUUACGUUCUCGGUCCAGAAAUAUUGUCAAUUCAGUUUAUGAAUAUUUUGAGGAAGAACGAAUGAAGCAGCAACCCGUUAUUGACAUCAAUAAAGUAGUUGAAAGAACUGCGAUUGCAACCAAUGUUUCUGUAUCGACCAUAAAAAGAAUACGAGCGGAACAUAGGAAAAUCGUAAAAGAAGGUGGACAUUUCAGAUCACCGAGAAAAAAACCGAACAUCACAACGGAUCGUAUUCGAUGAUUUUGACAAAGCUCUACUUAGGAGAAUUAUACACAAUUAUUAUACUGAGAAGAAGGAAGUCCCAACAGUUCAUAAGCUUUUAAAAGAAAUGCAAUCAGCAACUGGUUUUGAAGGAAAGGAAGAAUAUUUAAGAAGACAUUUUAAAUACAAACCCG
rnacentral:lncRNA from 1 species